GCAUGAUAAUGGAUUGAUGGCAGGCCCUUCUCUGUGGGGCUCUCAUAUACCUGUGCUAGAGGAGCAUGCAGCCCCAAACCAUUGCCCAGCUUCCUCACUGGGGUGCUGUGAGCACUGAGGGGGCUGUAUUAUG